AAAAUCAAAUAUUUUUGCAUGGUCAAAGCUGCUCCUAAUUGAAAUUAUUUUCUAUUUAGAUGAAAAUCAAAAUAAAAGGGUAAGGUUUUCUCAGUGAAAUAAGAUUUCCAUAUUGAUUUGAGCAAAACUAUUUAAUAUUUGAAUUAUAGAUCAAAAUCACCUAUGUCUAUUGGGUUUCGAAUAUCUGGUGGGUUUCUUUUUAUAUUUGGUGUCAAUUUUAAUGAUUGGCACCUAAUUACAGAUUUAUUUGUUUGUCAGCUUGUACAUUUCUUCUGUCUAAAAAAAAAGGCUGUGUACAUUUCAUUGGAGAGACUAUAGCUUCAGUUAAUUUAGGCUUUUGGUGAUCGUAGAUGUGCAGUGAAAUUCAAAAAAAAAAUUAAACAAUAUUUAAAAAAAAAAA